ACAGACUGAAAAUGUCCUCAGGUGUCUCUGUGAUCUGGGGUCAGAUAACUGUGCCGACAGCACUGGGGUGCGUUUAGCUUAUCGCGGGAGUCUCUCUGUGGCUGCGCGAUAAAACCCAUGUACCUACACGC